UCCCUGGUAGCUCAGUCGGUAGAGCGGAUGACUGUUAAUCAUUAGGUCGGCGGUUCGAGCCCGUCCCAGGGAG
rfam:Legionella fallonii LLAP-10 genome assembly, chromosome: I